rnacentral:rRNA from 1 species
AUUGAACGCUGGCGGCAUGCCUUACACAUGCAAGUCGAACGGCAGCACGGGAGCUUGCUCCUGGUGGCGAGUGGCGAACGGGUGAGUAAUACAUCGGAACGUACCCUGAAGUGGGGGAUAACGUAGCGAAAGUUACGCUAAUACCGCAUAUUCUGUGAGCAGGAAAGAGGGGGAUCGCAAGACCUCUUGCUUUAGGAGCGGCCGAUGUCGGAUUAGCUAGUUGGUGAGGUAAAGGCUCACCAAGGCGACGAUCCGUAGCGGGUCUGAGAGGAUGAUCCGCCACACUGGGACUGAGACACGGCCCAGACUCCUACGGGAGGCAGCAGUGGGGGAAUUUUGGACAAUGGGCGCAAGCCUGAUCCAGCCAUGCCGCGUGAGUGAAGAAGGCCUCGGUUGUAAGACGUCUUCGUGGGAGAAUUAGCACAGGAGUAAUACCUUAGUGUAG